GAUGAACGCUAGCGGCAGGCUUAAUACAUGCAAGUCGAGGGGUAACAGGUCUGUAGCAAUACAGAUGCUGACGACCGGCAAACGGGUGCGGAACACGUACAGAACCUUCCUUCGAGUGGGAGAUAGCCCAGGGAAACUUGGAGUAAUAUCCCAUGGGAUCAUAGAGUGGCAUCACUUAGUGAUUAAAGAUUUAUCGCUUGAAGAUGGCUGUGCGGCUGAUUAGGUAGUUGGUGUAGGUAACGGCUCACCAAGCCUUCGAUCAGUAACUGGUGUGAGAGCACGACCAGUCACACGGGCACUGAGACACGGGCCCGACUCCUACGGGAGGCAGCAGUAAGGAAUAUUGGGCAAUGGAGGCAACUCUGACCCAGCCAUGCCGCGUGGAGGAUGAAGGUCCUCUGGAUUGUAAACUUCUUUUAUUUGGGAAGAAAUGCCGAUUUUCUAAUUGGUUUGACGGUACCAGAUGAAUAAGCACCGGCUAACUCCGUGCCAGCAGCCGCAGUAAAAC
rnacentral:rRNA from 1 species